rnacentral:rRNA from 1 species
GAGGAGCAUUCUUAAGUCGACGAAGCUGUACUGUAAGGAGCAGUGGAGAGUUAAGAAGAGAGAAUGCCGGAAUGAGUAGCGAGAUUUAAGUGAGAAUCUUAAAGGCCGAAUAUCUAAGGUUUCCAGGGUAAAGCUGAUCUUCCCUGGGUAAGUCGGGGCCUAAGGCGAGGGCGAGAGCCGUAGUCGAUGGAUAACAGGUUGAAAUUCCUGUACUGCUUAUGGACAGAACUGUGGGGACGCAGAAGGAGAGCACGAGCCGGAAAUGGAAAAGCCGGUACAAGCGUAUAGCAAUCAUGCAGGCAAAACCGCAUGAAAAAUGUAGAGCGUUAUGUGGAUCGAACAUUAGUAGAGAAGCGUGUGAGCCAGCUGCCAAGAAAAGCCGCUAUUGUUUCAUAAGUACCCGUACCGUAAACCGACACAGGUGGAUGAGGAGAGAAUCCUAAGGCCGGCGGGAGAAGUGUUGUUAAGGAACUCGGCAAAAUGACUCCGUAACUUCGGGAGAAGGAGUGCCACAGAGAUGUGGCCGCAGAGAAAUGGCCCAAGCAACUGUUUAGCAAAAACACAGGUCUAUGCAAAACCGAAAGGUGAGGUAUAUGGGCUGACGCCUGCCCGGCGCUGGAAGGUUAAGAGGGGAGGUUAGAGCAAUCGAAGCUUUGAAUUUAAGCCCCAGUAAACGGCGGCCGUAACGAUAACGGUCCUAAGGUAGCGAAAUUCCUUGUCGGGUAAGUUCCGACCCGCACGAAAGGCGUAAUGAUUUGGGCACUGUCUCAACAACACACCCGGUGAAAUUGAAAUACCAGUGAAGAUGCUGGUUACCUGCGCCAGGACGGAAAGACCCCAUGGAGCUUUACUCCAGUUUGAUACUGGGAUUCGGUACUGUCUGUACAGGAUAGGUGGGAGGCUAGGAAGUGGUGACGCCAGUUGCCAUGGAGCCAACCUUGGGAUACCACCCUUACAGUACUGGGUUUCUAACCUGCAGCCGUAACCCGGCUGGGGGACAAUGUCUGACGGGGAGUUUGACUGGGGCGGUCGCCUCCGAAAGAGUAUCGGAGGCGCUCAAAGGUUCCCUCAGAACGGUUGGAAACCGUUCGAAGAGUGCAAAGGCAGAAGGGAGCUUGACUGCGACACCGACGGGUGGAGCAGAUACGAAAGUAGGACUUAGUGAUCCGGUGGUAUAAAGUGGGAUUGCCAUCGCUCAACGGAUAAAAGCUACCCUGGGAUAACAGGCUUAUCACUCCCAAGAGUUCACAUCGACGGAGUGGUUUGGCACCUCGAUGUCGGCUCAUCGCAUCCUGGAGCUGUAGCAGGUUCCAAGGGUUGGGCUGUUCGCCCAUUAAAGCGGUACGCGAGCUGGGUUCAGAACGUCGUGAGACAGUUCGGUCCCUAUCCGGCGUGGGCGUAGGAUAUUUGAGAGGAGCUGUCCUUAGUACGAGAGGACCGGGAUGGACAAACCUCUGGUGUAUCUGUUGUUUUACCAAAGGCAUGGCAGAGUAGCCAAGUUUGGCAGGGAUAAACGCUGAAGGUAUCUAAGCGUGAAGCCCCCCUCAAGAUAAGAUAUCCCAUCUUCGGAGUAAGACCCCUUGAAGACUACAAGGUUGAUAGGCUUCAGGUGUAAGUGCGGUAACGCACUCAGCUGAGAAGUACUAAUAGGUCGAGGACUUACC